rnacentral:rRNA from 1 species
UACAGGGGGUGCAAACGUUGCUCGGAAUCAUUGGGCGUAAAGCGCACGUAGGCGGUCUGUUAUGUCGGAUGUGAAAGCCCUUGGCUCAACUGAGGAAGUGCAUCCGAAACUGGCAGGCUAGAGUACUAAAGAGGAUCGCGGAAUUCCCGGUGUAGAGGUGAAAUUCGUAGAUAUCGGGAGGAACACCGGUGGCGAAGGCGGCCAACUGGACGAAUACUGACGCUGAGACACGAAAGCGUGGGGAGCAAACAGG